rnacentral:rRNA from 1 species
AACGAACGCUGGCGGCAUGCCUAACACAUGCAAGUCGAACGAGACCUUCGGGUCUAGUGGCGCACGGGUGCGUAACGCGUGGGAACCUGCCCUUAGGUUCGGAAUAACUCCCCGAAAGGGGUGCUAAUACCGGAUAAUGUCUUCGGACCAAAGAUUUAUCGCCUUUGGAUGGGCCCGCGUUGGAUUAGCUAGUUGGUAGGGUAAAAGCCUACCAAGGCGACGAUCCAUAGCUGGUCUGAGAGGAUGAUCAGCCACACUGGGACUGAGACACGGCCCAGACUCCUACGGAAGGGGGAAGUGGGGGAUAUUGGAGAAUGGGUGAAGGUAUGAAACAUCAAUGGCGCGGAAGUGAUGAAGACGUGGGGGGAGAAAAGCGCUUGGACCAGGGCUGGCAAUGACGGUACCGGGAAAAUAAGAUCAGGAUAACUCUGGG